UUCGCCCUUAGAGUUUGAUCCUGGCUCACGACGAACGCUGGCGGCGCGCCUAACACAUGCAAGUCGAACGAGCGAGAGAGAGCUUGCUUUCUCAAGCGAGUGGCGAACGGGUGAGUAACGCGUGAGGAACCUGCCUCAAAGAGGGGGACAACAGUUGGAAACGACUGCUAAUACCGCAUAAGCCCACAGCUCGGCAUCGAGCAGAGGGAAAAGGAGUGAUUCGCUUUGAGAUGGCCUCGCGUCCGAUUAGCUGGUUGGUGAGGUAACGGCCCACCAAGGCAACGAUCGGUAGCCGGACUGAGAGGUUGAACGGCCACAUUGGGACUGAGACACGGCCCAGACUCCUACGGGAGGCAGCAGUGGGGAAUAUUGCACAAUGGGGGAAACCCUGAUGCAGCGACGCCGCGUGAAGGAAGAAGGUCUUCGGAUUGUAAACUCCUGUUGUUGAGGAAGAUAAUGACGGUACUCAACAAGGAAGUGACGGCUAACUACGUGCCAGCAGCCGCGGUAAAACGUAGGUCACAAGCGUUGUCCGGAAUUACUGGGUGUAAAGGGAGCGCAGGCGGGAAAGCAAGUUGGAAGUGAAAUCCAUGGGCUCAACCCAUGAACUGCUUUCAAAACUGUUUUUCUUGAGUAGUGCAGAGGUAGGCGGAAUUCCCGGUGUAGCGGUGGAAUGCGUAAAUAUCGGGAGGAACACCAGUGGCGAAGGCGGCCUACUGGGCACCAACUGACGCUGAGGCUCGAAAGUGUGGGUAGCAAACAGGAUUAGAUACCCUGGUAGUCCACACUGUAAACGAUGAUUACUAGGUGUCGGAGGAUUGACCCCUUCAGUGCCGCAGUUAACACAAUAAGUAAUCCACCUGGGGAGUACGACCGCAAGGUUGAAACUCAAAGGAAUUGACGGGGGCCCGCACAAGCAGUGGAGUAUGUGGUUUAAUUCGACGCAACGCGAAGAACCUUACCAAGUCUUGACAUCCCGCGACGGUGCUGGAAACAGUACUUUCCUUCGGGACGCAGAGACAGGUGGUGCAUGGUUGUCGUCAGCUCGUGUCGUGAGAUGUUGGGUUAAGUCCCGCAACGAGCGCAACCCUUAUGGUCAGUUACUACGCAAGAGGACUCUGGCCAGACUGCCGUUGACAAAACGGAGGAAGGUGGGGAUGACGUCAAAUCAUCAUGCCCUUUAUGACUUGGGCUACACACGUACUACAAUGGCGUUAAACAAAGAGAAGCGAGACCGCGAGGUGGAGCAAAACUCAGAAACAACGUCCCAGUUCGGGCUGCAGGCUGCAACUCGCCUGCACGAAGUCGGAAUUGCUAGUAAUCGCAGAUCAGCAUGCUGCGGUGAAUACGUUCCCGGGCCCCUUGUACACACCGCCCGUC
rnacentral:rRNA from 1 species